CAGCAAAGCCACUGUGUCUGUAGUUGCCAUGGAAACUAGGGCAGAGGAGGGGCAGCAGUGUGUGUCAAAAGCUGCCUGCUCUGGCUGAUCAGCUUGGAGGAGAUCAAUGGGCUGGGUGGGGCCUCACCCUCUAAUCCACCCUCUCAUGUGGGUGCCUGCAGCUGCCUGCGGUCGGCCCCAUCCCCAGCUCUUGGGUGCUGGGGCUUUCCAGCUGCAGCUUAAUUACAGCCCAAGGGAUGGCGAGUAUGCAGAGGCAAGGUGGGGUGUUUGGUGGGGGUGGUCCACAGUGGCUGGGUUUGGGGCUUCUUGGCUCUCGUGGCCCAGAGAUCCUUACAGUUUGGCCUGCCUGGAACAAGGUGGGAUGCCACCCAGACCCAUCCAUGCAGCCUAAGAGGUGCCAAGAUAUUGGUGCUCACUGAACAAGAGCCAAAGAGUCAGCUUGGGAAGAAUCGAGGCAAACCUCCUAGGCCUGACUAGAAGUUUGUAUGAACUCUGCAGAUGAUGAAGAACACCUCCCAGAAUCGUGCAAGGGGGAUGCUUGGCAAGCAAGUUAACAAGGAAAGCUUCUCUAAUGGAGUGCUAGAGCUGAGGGCCAGACGGUUGUUGGUGUCCGUCUUUGGAGAAAAUAGAGGAGUACGCCUUUGGCAGUGAAGUCAAUCUGUUGGAAGUCUGCUGUGGCUGUACAGACCAAGAUAGGAGAGACAAAUACCUCACAGCUCCUGGUUGGGAAGAAAGGCAGCAUAGACAUCAAAUGAAUAAUAUCAGUAACAAUAAUAACGGCAUGCGGAAGUCUGCAGGCCACAUGGGACAUACGCCUGCAUGGCACAGAUGGAUGGAGCAGGUCCUUUUGUACAGUAUUGCAUAGGUGCCAUGAUCUCGGGAGUCUCCCUGAAUCUGAAGGUGAUAAGACAGACCACCGUGAAACAUCUCAGCCUGUGAAAUGGGAAUAAUUACCAUCUACUUCCUUCUUACCAUGUUCUCCAGCAAAAGAGUCUAGAGAGGCCUCCUCUACACUUGCAACAGAAUGAGGUGGUAGACUGGGUGAUGGUAGAAUAGAUGGUACACAUU